AUUGAACGCUGGCGGCAGGCCUAACACAUGCAAGUCGAGCGGGUGACGGUAUCUUGCUCCUGGGUUCAGCGGCGGACGGGUGUGUAAUGCCUAGGAAUCUUACUGCGAGUGGGGGAUAACGUCCGCAAAGGGGCACUAAUAACGCAUGCGUCCUGAUGGCGCAUGAGGGGGAUCUUCGGACUUCACGCUAUCAGAUGAGCCUAGGUCGGAUUAGCUAGUUGGUGGGGUAAAGGCCUACCGGGGCGACGAGCCGUAACUGGUCUGAGAGGAUGAUCAGUCACACGGGAACUGAGACACGGUCCAGACUCCUACGGGGAGCAGCAGUGGGGACUAUUAGGCGAGGGGGGAGUGCCGGAUACAGCCAAGCCGCGGGUGUGAAGAUGCUCUUCGGAUUGGAGAGGACAUUAAGUUGGGAGGAAGGGCAGUAAGUUAAGACCUUGCUGUUUUGACGUUACCAACAGAAGAAGCACCGGCUAACUUCGUG
rnacentral:rRNA from 1 species